rnacentral:rRNA from 1 species
CGGCGUUGCGUUAACACAUAGCAAAGGUCGACGGAAAGGCCUGGCUGUCAGGGUACUCGAGUGGCGAAGGGUGAGUAACACGUGGUGAUCUGCCCUGUCACUUCGGGAUUAAGCUUGGGAAACUGGGUCUAAUACCGGAUAGGAGCCAUCGUUUAGUGUGGUGGUUGGAAAGUUUUUUCGGUGUAGGAUGAGCUCGCGGCCUAUCAGCUUGUUGGUGGGGUAAUGGCCUACCAAGGCGGCGACGGGUAGCCGGCCUGAGAGGGUGUACGGCCACAUUGGGACUGAGAUACGGCCCAGACUCCUACGGGAGGCAACAGUGGGGAAUAUUGCACAAUGGGCGCAAGCCUGAUGCAGCGACGCCGCGUGGGGGAUGAAGGCCUUCGGGUUGUAAACUCCUUUCGCUAGGGACGAAGCUUUGUGUGACGGUACCUAGAUAAGAAGCACCGGCUAACUACGUG